UACCGAUACAUUUAACCAAAAACAUUGAUGAUUGAAGUACUCAGAUGACGAAUACAACUACAAACAUCGUUACCAUUUUAAAAGAACAGAAUAUAGGACUGACUGUUGGAGUAUCAACUUUCCUCCUUAUGAGCUAUUUGUUCAUGGCUUACAUUAUAUACCGACCAUGGAAAGGCAGAGCAGGUGCCCCGCCCACCUCUCGAGGUCCAGUGUUGUGACACCACUGAGGACAAUCAAAUAAUAUACCGAACGUACAUUUUACUUGAUUCGUUUGAUUUCUAUUAGAUAUCUAUAACUAUAUUAGAAAUCAAAAUAGGCUAUCGGAAUAAGGAUUAAGCCAGCAAUGCCGAUACUCUUAUUCGAUGACGACGAGGGAGGUGAUGUAAACAACAAUCACGAUCUGUUUAUUGUUACUAUACAUGUACAGCAUAUAGGGUUGUUUAAUUAUAGAAUAGAAUAGUAUAUUGUCAGAUGAUUGUGCAGUAUGAAGUGCAUUUCUUGACAUAUAAGUAUGAGAACGAAUUUUAGUUUAAACUUGCUUGAACUUUCAUUUGAUUAAAAUUACAUGUAGAGGGAUAAGAAAUGUUAGUCCAGUAUAUAUAAAUUUCACUGAUUAGCGAUGCCACGAUUUUGUCCCUGUUUUGCACAGAAUUUAAGACAUGGCCCCCCUUCCAACUUUUCUUAACCGACACACGAUAUACAUUGCAUCUCGUUUUCGGGUGAUAUCGAUAAAAAGAUACAUAAGUUGAAAGGAGUUAAAAUGUAUAUUAAAAAACAUGAUUAGAUAAGAGUGUGUCAAUUCCAGAUCAAGUUGGAAAGGGGGGGGGGAGGGGGCGGUCAUGCCCCAGGUGUCUAUGAAUUUUUUUUUAAGUUAGUUUGUUUCCCCAAACACUUUCAAAGAUUCAUAUGAUGAAAAAAUCCAUUUAGGUUCUUUCUCACUUAUCUACAGAGGAACCUAUUAUUUUAUAACAGAUAAUCCAUGAUAUGAUGAAAUGAUUUUAGAUUUAAGAAUAAAAUAUAUUCAUACAGGA